rnacentral:rRNA from 1 species
UACAGAGGGUGCGAGCGUUGUCCGGAAUCACUGGGCGUAAAGGGCGCGUAGGCGCCUGGCAAGUCGAUGGUGAAAGCUCAGGGCUCAACUCUGAGUCGGCCAUCGAUACUGCUAUGGCUCGAGUCUGGUAGAGGCAGAUGGAAUUCCGGGUGUAGCGGUGGAAUGCGUAGAGAUCCGGAAGAACACCGGUGGCGAAGGCGGUCUGCUGG